UUUCUCCUGCAUUUCCCAGAGCACUUAGCAUACAGCGCUUUGAGCCAGGCCUCCCUCAAGCUCUAGUUCCAUUGUUUGUUAGCAAUGUGGUCUUGGACAAGUCACUUUAUCUCUGAGACCUCGAGGUGUCUCAUCUAUAAAAUGGGGUAAUGAUUUUUAUUACAUAGGAUAAUUGUGAGGAUUAAGUAAAGUACCUAGUUAGCACUCAAUAAACAUUAGUCGCCUUCCUCCCGCCUCUGGUCCCUGGUUCAGAAAGAUUGUUGCAACAUCGUGGGAGAGCGUCAAGGGAGGGAGGAGGGCCUCGCUCUUCCCGUGGGUCCCGCGGACACACUGCGUGCACCUGAAAGAUCUCACGGGCACUGGCUUGCAGAGCGGCCGGGCAGAGAGGCCGGGUAUCAGCACUGUUGCGCGAAGCCUUGGGCAUCAGUGGUAGUCACUGCCACCCGUUCCUAUAUGGGCAUUUUUGACAACUUCCAAGGAGUGCUCAUCUUUGAUGUAAACAGAAAGAAAACGCUGAAAACGAUUUGCAAAAGCAAACUUUAUAGUAUGAGUCUCCUUGUCUAGGAUAAUACCCUAAACCAAGGUAUGCUCGUAGGGAGAGGUAAACAGUCAUCUGCCAGUGAGUCGUUUCCUUCCUGUCCCGGUUGCUGCUCAGUCUGUGUACAGAAUCUGUGCUGUGAGAUCAUAAGGGUCAUUGUCAUGGCUGUGAUCAUCCUUGUCAUCACCAUCAACGGCAGCCUCCUCCUCCCUCCCCUCAUCCACCCACAGCUGCCAUGUGGGCGGGAGGCAGGGCAGGGGGCAGGGUCCCCCCCUCCUCACCUCCCAUGCCAUUCUAUAUAGACCCCGUGGCCAUACAUAGCCUCGUGGGUCACCGCACUGCUUGGAUACGUACUUGAUUCUUCCAGCAACCCCACGAGGACAGCGGUUUACUGUGGCUCUUUGGUGCCCAGGAAGAGCCCUGCAUCGGGAGGAAGAUGGUGGAGGUACUGACUAUGGCUCUACCUCUUGCUUCCAAGAGAACUUGGACAAGUCAUGUGACUUCUCUGAUCUUCAGCGUUACCAUGUAGCAUCGGACAAGAUCUAGGGUUCCGCUUUCCCUGUCCGUCACCGGUGGGCAGCAACCUCCCGGAAGCGGAUGAGCCUCCCUCCCACCAGUCACUGGAAGAUCAGUGGUAGCCCCACCCCCCGACCCAGCCGGAGUCACCCCCCUGGCUUCCUCUCGCCACACAGUCAUUUUAUCAUCUCAAGUCGGCCCGAGGAGGGUAAAGCAGCUGAGCUCAAGAGAGGUUUGAAUAACUUGUUCUAGACCACACAUGACCUACUAAGAAGAACCAGGAUCCACACAUUUGUGUAUAAAGUCUCAUAGUGUUUGUUUGUGCCCUGACAGCACGAUGCUCCUCCCCUAAGAGUGGUGGCCGUGGGGGAAAGGCACUGGCCUGGGAGUCAGGAAGCCUCUGGUCCUGCCUGCGUCUGCCCGUAACCUAUGAGUCAUCUUGGAGCCUCAUCUGCUUUCUGGAACCCUGGUCCUCCACUUGCGUUCUUGCCUCCUCACUUGGGAUGCCAGCGGUAACGGGACUGGCUCCCCGUUCUGAUGCUGAACAAGGUUAUAGGCUAGUAUGGACUUCUCUGCCCAGACUGGAAGUCAACGAGGAGCAAGGGACUGGGAAGAGCAUCUCCAAACACACCCAGAACUGCCGUUGGGUUAUACAUGGACUCUUGGAAGAGAACAGCUACAGAUACAGUUCGAGGGCUUGAUGGGAGAACAAGGGAAUAAAGGCUGGACUUCGCUGCGGCUCAUAGUCUCCAGGCAGGAUUCUUGAAGCACACAGGUUGUAACACUCCUACAGCUACCUCGAGGACUUCCUUUAAUGUUUCACCACCAGAGCUUCUCUCUGCUUCCACAAGAGGCUAUGCCAUGCUUCAAAACACUGCAACAGAAAGAAGAGGGAAAAAAAAGAUUUCUAGACAAUCCAGUCUGUAUGAAGUACCUAGGGCAAUUCCUGGCACCAAAGAGGCGUUGAGUGUAAGUUAAAUGGAUUUUUUUAUGUGAUUAUUGAAAAUGUCUUCUACGCCUUCUUCACAAAUACUCACUAUCCCCAAACAAACUACGUUUGUCAACACCAAGGUCGAAACAGUACCACAAAAGAGAAGAUUUCUCUGC